CCUACGGGAGGCAGCAGUGAGGAAUAUUGGUCAAUGGUCGUAAGCCUGAACCAGCCAAGUAGCGUGCAGGAUGACGGCCCUAUGGGUUGUAAACUGCUUUUAUGCGGGGAUAAAACGCGUCACGUGUGCUCUUUUGUAGGUACCCCAUGAAUAAGGACUGGCUAAUUCCGUGCCAGCAGCCGCGGUAAUACGGAAGGUGCGGGCGUUAUCCGGAUUUAUUGGGGUUAAAGGGAGCGUAGGCCGGAUGUUAAGCUUGCCGUUAAAUGCCGUGGCUCAACCAUGGCACGGCGGCGGGAACUGGGGUGCUGGAGUGGGCGAAACGUAGGCGGAAUGCGUGGUGUAGCGGUGAAAUGCUUAGAUAUCACGAAGAACUCCGAUUGCGAAGGCAGCAUACGGGAGCGCGACUGACGCUGAGGCACGAAGGCGCGGGGAUCGAACAGGAUUAGAUACCCGAGUAGUC
rnacentral:rRNA from 1 species